rnacentral:rRNA from 1 species
CAAUAGCGUAUAUUAAAGUUGUUGCAGUUAAAAGCUCGUAGUUGGAUUUCUGGUGGGAGUGUUUGGCCGGCUCAAUGAGUCUUGUGCCUAUAUGCUUCUGCCAUCCUUGGGGAAACUUGCUUGGCAUUAGGUUGUCGAGUUUGGGAUCCCCAUCGUUUACUGUGAAAAAAUUAGAGUGUUCAAAGCAGGCUUAUGCCUCUGAAUAAUAUUAGCAUGGAAUAAUGAUAUAGGACCUUGGUACUAUUUUGUUGGUUUGCGCACUGAGGUAAUGAUUAAGAGGGACAGUUGGGGUAUUUGUAUUCCAUUGUCAGAGGUGAAAUUCUUGGAUUUUUGGAAGACAAAACUACUGCGAAAGCAUUUACCAAAGGAUGUUUUCAUUAAUCAAGAA